CUGACAGUCCCUUGCUGCUCUGCCCUGAUAAGGGUGGCGUCAGCACAGCCUGCUGCUGUCUUUUCUCUCCCCCAGGAACAGGCUGCAGGCGGAAGCAGGGGUUCCAGGCCCCCCAACUUUACGCACCAAGCCCAGAUCAGUGGGGGUGAGGUGGGGGGGCAGAUGGCAGCCUUGGGUGUGUGGGGGGCUGUUUUUCUCAGAUGCUCUGGAGUUCCCCGUCCUGACACAGGCUGAGCUGCGUGCCAGUAUUAUCAGCUGCACGGUUCUGGGCGACAUCCUCCAAAAUGGGCUCUCAAGAUUCUGGGUGGGAGAAACAGCCCAGGAAUGCCUGUUAAACACCCAGAGGUCAGCUGGCAGGGGCCGUGGGCAGCCACGUGGGGUGGGAUGGGAUCUGUCUCUCAUCGGAGCAGUUGAAUAAUGGAUCUGUCGUCCCCCAGGGUGGGGCACGGAGUCAGGGAUCAGACAGGGCCUUUCCCUGCUCGCUGCUGGAGACAAGCUUCUGAACAGCUCCACCCUGAACCUAUCUCCACCAAAAACUCUGCCUUUGGGAUUUCUUAUCACAGGGCGCGGUCAGUGUAGCGCUGGCAAUCAGAAGACCCCGCCUGUGACCUCAGGGCAAGUCACGCCCUGGUGCCGUGCCUCAGUUUACCCAGCUGUCCAGUGUGGAUCAUCCUGACAGCCGUGGGAAGACAGGAGCAGGAGGUGGUGAGGGUAGUGUUUGUUGAUGUUUGAAAAGCAUGUUGGGAUCCUGAGGUGGAAGGAGCUAAAGAGAGUGAAGGAUGAUUAUUGGCUAUUAUUAAUAAUCAUUAUAUUUGUGUGCAGGGAAAUGAUCCUAGGGUCCUUGGUCCCCUAAUGUUGAGCAUAAGAAAGAAAGAAGAAGCUAGAUGGGGUGUAUGGAGCUAGAUUCCCCAGUCACCCCCAUCCCUCCCUGCUCUGAUCCUGUCGGUCAUGCCUAUCCCAAGCACUCGGUUGCCAUGUGGUCCUAGCCAAUGCAGCGGCUGGUUGUUAUAGUUGCCUCAGCUGUUUCCUGCUCCCCCCACCAUCACCCAGAGCACAGAGCUGUCCCAACCCAGCCUCGUCCAUGGUUUGCCCCCUUCCCACCUCCCCCACCCGGCUCCAGGGAGAAGAGCCAAACCCUCAUCCCCAUCUCAGCAGCUUCUGGGGGAAGGGUUUAGCGCAAGCCCUCAGGAUGCUGCUGUGGCUGUAGCAUCGGCAAGCCAACACCCCUGAUCUCAUGCUUGGAAACAGCUGAGCCCUUUUAUCUGAAGCUUUUCCAAAAAAAUGCCUCUGGAGGCUGACACCUGGCCUGGGAAAUUUCAGCCCAAACCGGUUCAAUUAGGGUAAAGUGACAAGCAACUGAAGACAAGGUCUUAUCAUAGGACAUGUUAGGCAAUGCUAACUCCAGGCAGUGCUACCAGUCCUGAUGCUCUGGGCCUCAGUUUCCCCCUCUACAGAACGGGGAGAAUGAUACUCAGCUCCUUGGUAAAAUGCUCUGAGAUCUAUAGAUGAAACGUGCUAGGUGCUGCUUUCACCAUCUCCGGCUGCGUCCCACCCUGGCAGGCAUUAGUGCUACUGACUAGUGUCCCCUCCCGCCUGGGCUCCAGCACUGCCAUAAAUCUGGGUAUGAAGCCCUCAGAGAGCUCCAGCGUGCUAAACGCUGCACCACAUGCUCCCAUGAGCUCACCCCCAUCAGCUCCCCGUGAGCAGGUCCCACUGUCGCCAACCUCAAGAGAGCAAAAAACCUGAGUCAGACCUGAAAACAUGAGGAGAUUGGCUCCAAAAACAUGGGAUAUUUUUGUUUUUAAAGUA